rnacentral:rRNA from 1 species
AACGAACGCUGGCGGCAUGCCUAACACAUGCAAGUCGAACGAGAACUUCGGGUUUCGUGGCGCACGGGUGCGUUACGCGUGGGAACCUUGCCUUAGGCUUGGAAUCAAUCCCUGAAAGGGGUUCUAAUUCCGGAUAAUGUUUUCGGACAAAAGAUUUAUCCCGUUUGGAUGGGCCCGCGUGGGUUUAGCUCGUUGGAAGGGUAAAAGCCUACCCCGGCGACGAUCCAUGGCUGGUCUGAGAGGAUAAGCAGCCACACUGGGACUGAGACACGGCCCAGACUCUUACGGGAGGCGGCAGUGGGAAAUAUUGGAAAAUGGGCGAGAGCCUGAUCCAGCUAUGCCGCGUAAGUCAUGAAGGCCGGAGAGUUGUAAAGCUCUUUUACCCGGGAUGAUAAUGACAGUACCUGAAGAAUAAGCGCCGGCUAACUCCGUG